rnacentral:rRNA from 1 species
AUUGAACGCUGGCGGCAGGCCUAACACAUGCAAGUUGAGGGGCAGCGGGAAAGUAGCUUGCUACUUUUGCCGGCGAGCGGCGGACGGGUGAGUAAUGCUUAGGAAUCUGCCUAUUAGUGGGGGACAACAUUCCGAAAGGAAUGCUAAUACCGCAUACGCCCUACGGGGGAAAGCAGGGGAUCUUCGGACCUUGCGCUAAUAGAUGAGCCUAAGUCGGAUUAGCUAGUUGGUGGGGUAAAGGCCUACCAAGGCGACGAUCUGUAGCGGGUCUGAGAGGAUGAUCCGCCACACUGGGACUGAGACACGGCCCAGACUCCUACGUGAGGCAGCAGUGGGGAAUAUUGGACAAUGGGCGGAAGCCUGAUCCAGCCAUGCCGCGUGUGUGAAGAAGGCCUUUUGGUUGUAAAGCACUUUAAGCGAGGAGGAGGCUCUUAAGGUUAAUACCCUUGAUGAGUGGACGUUACUCGCAGAAUAAGCACCGGCUAACUCUGUGCCAGCCGCCGCGGUAAGAC